rnacentral:rRNA from 1 species
CCUACGUGAGGCAGCAGUGAGGCAUAUUGGUCCAUGGGCGCGAGCCUGAACCAGCCAAGUAGCGUGAAGGAUGACUGCCCUACGGGUUGUAAACUUCUUUUAUCAAGGAAUAAAGUGAGGCACGUGUGCCUUUUUGUAUGUACUUUAUGAAUAAGGAUCGGCUAACUCCGUGCCAGCAGCCGCGGUAAUACGGAGGAUCCGAGCUUUAUCCGGCUUUAUUGGGUUUAAAGGGAGCGGAGAUGGGUUGUUAAGUCAGUUGUGAAAGUUUGCGGCUCAACCGUAAAAUUGCAAUUGAUACUGGCAGUCUUGAGUACAGUUGAGGUAGGCGGAAUGCGUGGUGUAGCGGUGAAAUGCUUAGAUAUCACGAAGAACUCCGAUUGCGAAGGCAGCUUACUAAACUGCCACUGACAUUGAUGCUCGAAAGUGUGGGUAUCAAACAGGAUUAGAUACCCUUGUAGUC